AUGGAUUACAUAAAAUUCGAUCAUGGAUUACAAAAAAAAAAAAACAUAAAAAAACAAAAAAUUCGAUCGUGGAUUACAAGAACAGAAAAAAACAAUUCGAUCAUGGAUUACAAAAAAUUCAAUCAUGGGUUACAAAAAAAAACAAAAAAUUCGAUCAUGGAUUACAAGAAAAAAAAACAAACAUUUCGAUCAUGGAUUACAAAAAAAAAAACAAAAAAUUCGAUCGUGGAUUACAAAAAAAGAAAAAA
rnacentral:lncRNA from 1 species